rnacentral:rRNA from 1 species
UUUAUUUAGGUAGUAAUAGUUAUGUUCUUGAAACUUAAAAAAUUUGGCGGUAUUUUAGUCUAUUCAGAGGAACCUGUUCUGUAAUUGAUAAUCCACGUUGGACCUUACUUAAAUUUGUUUAGCAAUUUAUAUACCGUUGUUAUUAAAAUAUUUUUGAGAAUAAUAAUAUUUAAUAAUUUUGAUAAAAAUUUAUAUCAAAUCAAGGUGUAGUUUAUGUUUAAGUAGAAAUGGGUUACAAUAAAAUUAUUUUAUGGAUAUAAAUAUGAAAAAUUUAUUGAAAUUGGAUUUGAUUGUAAAAUUAUAAAGAUUAAUAAUUUGAUUUUAGCUCUAAAAUAUGU